rnacentral:RNase_P_RNA from 1 species
AAUGUAAGUGGUCUUAUCGCUUCAUAUUUUGAAGAGGAAAGUCCGGACAAUGAAGAGCAUUGUACUUCCUAACCGGAAGGUCUCUUAGGAGAACAGAUAGUGCAACAGAAAAUAAACCGCCAUUUUGGCAAGGGUGAAAAGGUGAGGUAAGAGCUCACCGGUCAAAUAGUGAUAUUUGAUGCUUUGUAAACCUUAUGAAUUGAAAGAUCAAGCAAUUCGAAAGCAUUUAUGCAUAUAGUUGCUCGCUAUAACUCGAAUGGGUGGAUUGAUGGAGCUUAAUAGCAAUAUUAAGUCUAGAUAAAUGAUAAGAAUCUGAAUUUCAGAUACAGAAUCCGGCUUAUAAGCUUACAACUUUU